rnacentral:rRNA from 1 species
CAGCCGCCGCGGUAAUACGGAGGGGGCUAGCGUUGUUCGGAAUUACUGGGCGUAAAGCGUGCGUAGGCGGUGAGUUAAGUCUGCUGUGAAAUCCCCGGGCUCAACCUGGGAAUGGCAGUGGAUACUGGCUCGCUAGAGUGUGUCAGAGGAUGGUGGAAUUCCCGGUGUAGCGGUGAAAUGCGUAGAGAUCGGGAGGAACAUCAGUGGCGAAGGCGGCCAUCUGGGACAACACUGACGCUGAGGCACGAAAGCGUGGGGAGCAAACAGGAUUAGAUACCCCUGUAGUCCCUGUCUCUUAUAA